AGAAGGCUUCAGCCUUUCCCACAGAACAUGUCUGCAGCCUCAGACAGCUCCUGCAUUGCCUCCUACAGGUCUGAAGAUGGGCAAGGCAUGUGUGUGAGGCUGGAUACAUCUACUGGAACAGAUAAUGUUGCUGCUGUUUCAGCUGAUACUCUGAAGGUUCUUUCAUCAGCUCAGAGCCAAAUAUCCCCAAAUGGAAGGUAGAAGCUGUAGAACAACUGAUAUUAUUCAAGCCUCCAAGACCUAUUGUAUUAGGUCCAAGACCUCAAGUUUCAUUUCUGGCUGUUCUGAGUCUAUCCCUGGCAAUUCCAGGAGGCUCAUCCUAAGACCAGCUGGGAGCCCCUGGAAAGUGGGGUACACCUUGGCGGUGGACCCUGCUGCGGAGCAGAGCUUUCCCAGAGGAACCAGCCAGAGAAAUGAUCACAGUGUCCUCCACUAAAUGCUAGUGUGGAGGACACCCACGUGCUUCCUGCAGUUUCUGUUUAAGCGUAGUAUUCUGUGCUCUCUGCCUGCGGUUGGAUUUGCAGUUUGCCCUAUGGAUAUCAUGGCCCAAAUCCUGCCCUAAUUUACAACUGUAAGACCCCUGGAGGUGCAUACAUGCACAUGAGAACACGACUAAUAGGAUGCUGAAGUCAUCUCACUGUCCUGAAAAGUCACAGUGAGGACUGAUGCUGGGAAAUGUCAUUUAAGAUUAUAUAAUUCUUGAAUCUGUAAAAUCCUGAUGUACAGAAAGCUUUUUUCCUGGUGCUGUACUUUUAUAGAUAAAGGGAAUUUCACUUUUUUUAAUUUCAAAUUUUAGAUGCUGUACUACUAGAUUGCCUUACUGGAGUUAUAACACUUUUGUAACAGCAUUUUACACAACACAGCACUUGUCCUGUCCUACCUAGUGGUAAAAGUUUAUCUCCACCAGGAGAUUUUUGUAGAUUGAGAAUUGAAUUAAAAUAAUUUUUGACAUUUGUACAGAGCCUGAAAAUUCAGUUUUAAGUUCUGUUUUAUAGAGGAUAGUGUUCAGAUUUUUUUUUUUUUUUUUUUUUACACCCAACUCCUUUAUUUGCUUUGGGUCAAUUGAAAGUUUUGAUUUUGAGUUUUGCAGCUUACCUGAUGCAAUACAAACAGACAGAAAAUUAAAAUGACAGUCGUGUUUAAUUUUUUAUUAUUAUUAUUAUUAUUUUUUUUAAAAAAAAAAAAAGCUAAGUUGCUCUGCAAACAUAGUGAAAAUAAAUGUUUCAACGCUGCUGGAACACUUUGUUUUCCUGGUUUUCUUCCUAAACAAAAUCCUGGCGAAACUAGCUG